GGGUCCGUGGUCUAGUGGUAUGACACCGCCCUCACGCGGCGGGAAUCGCCGGUUCGAAUCCGGCCGGACCCA
rnacentral:tRNA from 1 species